CUACGGGAGGCUGCAGCAGUGAAUCUUUUACAAUGCACGAAAGUGUGAUAGAGCGAGCCAAAGUGCUUAACUUUUUGUUAAGCUUUUGCCUGUUGUAAAUAUACAGGCGAAUAAGGACUGGGAAAGACCGGUGCCAGCCGCCGCGGUAAUACCGGCAGUUCUAGUUGCAACCAACAUUAUUGGGUCUAAAACAUCCGUAGCUUGUCUCGUAAGUUUCUCGUGAAAUCUCACAUCUCAAGGGUGAGGCGUGCGAGAAAUACUGCGAGGCUAGAGAUCGGUAGGUGUAAGAAGUACGCGAGAGGUAGCGGUUAAAUGUGUUAAUCUUUCGCGGACUCACAAUUAGCGAAGGCAUCUUACAAGGACGAGUCUGACAGUGAGGGAUGAAGGCCAGGGGCGCAAAACGGAUUAGAUACCCCCGUAGUC
rnacentral:rRNA from 1 species